AGAGUUUGAUCCUGGCUCAGAUUGAACGCUGGCGGCAUGCUUUACACAUGCAAGUCGAACGGUAACAGGUCUUCGGAUGCUGACGAGUGGCGAACGGGUGAGUAAUACAUCGGAACGUGCCUAGUAGUGGGGGAUAACUACUCGAAAGAGUAGCUAAUACCGCAUGAGAUCUACGGAUGAAAGCAGGGGACCUUUGGGCCUUGUGCUACUAGGGCGGCUGAUGGCAGAUUAGGUAGUUGGUGGGGUAAAGGCUUACCAAGCCUGCGAUCUGUAGCUGGUCUGAGAGGACGACCAGCCACACUGGGACUGAGACACGGCCCAGACUCCUACGGGAGGCAGCAGUGGGGAAUUUUGGACAAUGGGCGAAAGCCUGAUCCAGCAAUGCCGCGUGCAGGAUGAAGGCCCUCGGGUUGUAAACUGCUUUUGUACGGAACGAAAAGCCUGGGGCUAAUAUCCCCGGGUCAUGACGGUACCGUAAGAAUAAGCACCGGCUAACUACGUGCCAGCAGCCGCGGUAAUACGU
rnacentral:rRNA from 1 species